rnacentral:rRNA from 1 species
AACGAACGCUGGCGGCAUGCCUAACACAUGCAAGUCGAACGAGACCUUCGGGUCUAGUGGCGCACGGGUGCGUAACGCGUGGGAACCUGCCCUUAGGUUCGGAAUAACUCCCCGAAAGGGGUGCUAAUACCGGAUAAUGUCUUCGGACCAAAGAUUUAUCGCCUUUGGAUGGGCCCGCGUUGGAUUAGCUAGUUGGUAGGUUAAAAGCCUACCAAGGCGACGAUCCAUAGCUGGUCUGAGAGGAUGAUCGGCCACACUGGGACUGAGACACGGCCCAGACUCCUACGGGAGGCAGCAGUGGGGAAUAUUGGACAAUGGGCGAAAGCCUGAUCCAGCAAUGCCGCGUGAGUGAUGAAGGCCUUAGGGUUGUAAAGCUCUUUUACCCGGGAUGAUAAUGACAGUACCGGGAGAAUAAGCUCCGGCGAACUCCGU